rnacentral:rRNA from 1 species
GUUGUAUGGUUAAGUGACUAAGCGUAUACGGUGAAUGCCUUGGCAGUCAGAGGCGAUGAAGGACGUGUUAAUCUGCGAUAAGCCAUGUUAAGUCGAUAAAAGACGUUAUAGACAUGGAUUUCCGAAUGGGGAAACCCACUGCAUUCAGUGCAGUAUCAUAUAGUGAAUACAUAGCUAUAUGAGGCGAACCCGGGGAACUGAAACAUCUAAGUACCCGGAGGAAAAGAAAUCAACCGAGAUUCUGGAAGUAGCGGCGAGCGAAACCGGAUUAGCCCUUAAGCUUAUUAUUGGUUAGUGGAAUGUGUUGGAAAGCACAACGGUACAGGGUGAUAGUCCCGUACAUGAAGACUAAUUUUAAGUGAAAUCGAGUAGGACGGCACACGUGAUAUGUUGUCUGAACAUGGGGGGACCAUCCUCCAAGGCUAAAUACUCCUGACUGACCGAUAGUGAACCAGUACCGUGAGGGAAAGGCGAAAAGAACCCCUGUGAGGGGAGUGAAAUAGAACCUGAAACCGUAUACGUACAAGCAGUAGGAGCCCCCUUGUUGGGUGACUAGCGGAGCCGUAGGGAAACCGAGUGUUAACUGCGCGAAUAGUUGCUGGUAUUAGACCCGAAACCCGGUGAUCUAGCCAUGGGCAGGUUGAAGAUUGGGUAACACCAAUUGGAGGACCGAACCGACUAAUGUUGAAAAAUUAGCGGAUGACUUGUGGCUGGGGGUGAAAGGCCAAUCAAACCGGGAGAUAGCUGGUUCUCCUCGAAAGCUAUUUAGGUAGCGCCUCGGACGAAUACUAGUGGGGGUAGAGCACUGUUAAGGCUAGGGGGUCAUCCCGACUUACCAACCCUUUGCAAACUCCGAAUACCACUAAGUAAUAUCCGGGAGACACACGGCGGGUGCUAACGUCCGUCGUGGAAAGGGAAACAACCCAGACCGUCAGCUAAGGUCCCAAAGUGUAUGUUAAGUGGGAAACGAUGUGGGAAGGCUUAGACAGCCAGGAGGUUGGCUUAGAAGCAGCCACCCUUUAAAGAAAGCGUAAUAGCUCACUGGUCGAGUCGGCCUGCGCGGAAGAUGUAACGGGGCUAAACAUACCACCGAAGCUACGGGCACAUGCUUGGAAGGGGUGCUGGAGGUAUCAGAAGUGCGAAUGUUGACAUGAGUAACGAUAAAGGGGGUGAAAAGCCCCCUCGCCGAAAGACCAAGGUUUCCUGUUCAAUGUUAAUCAGAGCAGGGUGAGUCGGCCCCUAAGGCGAGGCAGAAAUGCGUAGUCGAUGGGAAACAGGUUAAUAUUCCUGUACUUCGUAUAAUUGCGAUGGGAGGACGGAGAAGGCUAGGCUAGCGCGGCGUUGGUUGUCCGCGUUUAAGGUUGUAGGCUGGGAACUUAGGUAAAUCCGGGUUCCUGUUAAGGCUGAGAAUUGAUGACGAGGCUCUACGGAGCUGAAGUAGUUGAUGCCAUGCUUCCAGGAAAAGUCUCUAAGCUUCAGAUUAUACGAAACCGUACCCCAAACCGACACAGGUGGUUGGGUAGAGAAUACCAAGGCGCUUGAGAGAACUCGGGUGAAGGAACUAGGCAAAAUGGUACCGUAACUUCGGGAGAAGGUACGCUCCCGACGGUGAUGAGACUUGCUCUCUAAGCUGUUGGGAGUCGCAGAUACCAGUUGGCUGCAACUGUUUAUUAAAAACACAGCACUGUGCUAAAUCGAAAGAUGACGUAUACGGUGUGACGCCUGCCCGGUGCCGGAAGGUUAAUUGAUGGGGUUAGCGCUUGCGCGAAGCUCUUGAUCGAAGCCCCGGUAAACGGCGGCCGUAACUAUAACGGUCCUAAGGUAGCGAAAUUCCUUGUCGGGUAAGUUCCGACCUGCACGAAUGGCGUAAUGAUGGCCAAGCUGUCUCCACCCGAGACUCAGUGAAAUUGAAAUUGCUGUGAAGAUGCAGUGUACCCGCGGCUAGACGGAAAGACCCCGUGAACCUUUACUACAGCUUGACACUGAACAUUGAACCUACAUGUGUAGGAUAGGUGGGAGGCUUUGAAGCGUUGUCGCUAGAUGACGUGGAGCCAACCUUGAAAUACCACCCUUGUAGUUUUGAUGUUCUAACGUUGGUCCCUUAUCGGGAUUGCGGACAGUGUCUGGUGGGUAGUUUGACUGGGGCGGUCUCCUCCCAAAGAGUAACGGAGGAGCACGAAGGUUGGCUAAGUACGGUCGGACAUCGUACGGUUAGUGCAAUGGCAUAAGCCAGCUUAACUGCGAGACAGACAAGUCGAGCAGGUACGAAAGUAGGUCAUAGUGAUCCGGUGGUUCUGUAUGGAAGGGCCAUCGCUCAACGGAUAAAAGGUACUCCGGGGAUAACAGGCUGAUACCGCCCAAGAGUUCAUAUCGACGGCGGUGUUUGGCACCUCGAUGUCGGCUCAUCACAUCCUGGGGCUGAAGUCGGUCCCAAGGGUAUGGCUGUUCGCCAUUUAAAGUGGUACGCGAGCUGGGUUUAGAACGUCGUGAGACAGUUCGGUCCCUAUCUGCCGUGGGCGUUUGAGAAUUGAAAGGAGCUGCUCCUAGUACGAGAGGACCGGAGUGGACGAACCGCUGGUGUUUGGGUUGUCAUGCCAAUGGCAUUGCCCAGUAGCUACGUUCGGAACAGAUAACCGCUGAAAGCAUCUAAGCGGGAAGCUGGCCUUGAGAUUAAUUCUCACUGGGAAUUUAAUUCCCCUAAAGGGCCGUCAGAGACUAUGACGUUGAUAGGCAGGGUGUGUAAGCGUUGUGAGGCGUUGAGCUAACCUGUACUAAUGACCCGUGAGGCUUAACCAUACAACCCUGA